rnacentral:rRNA from 1 species
AGCUAAUACCGGAUAAUAUUUUGAACCGCAUGGUUCAAAAGUGAAAGACGGUCUUGCUGUCACUUAUAGAUGGAUCCGCGCUGCAUUAGCUAGUUGGUAAGGUAACGGCUUACCAAGGCAACGAUGCAUAGCCGACCUGAGAGGGUGAUCGGCCACACUGGAACUGAGACACGGUCCAGACUCCUACGGGAGGCAGCAGUAGGGAAUCUUCCGCAAUGGGCGAAAGCCUGACGGAGCAACGCCGCGUGAGUGAUGAAGGUCUUCGGAUCGUAAAACUCUGUUAUUAGGGAAGAACAUAUGUGUAAGUAACUGUGCACAUCUUGACGGUACCUAAUCAGAAAGCCACGGCUAACUACGUGCCAGCAGCCGCGGUAAUACGUAGGUGGCAAGCGUUAUCCGGAAUUAUUGGGCGUAAAGCGCGCGUAGGCGGUUUUUUAAGUCUGAUGUGAAAGCCCACGGCUCAACCGUGGAGGGUCAUUGGAAACUGGAAAACUUGAGUGCAGAAGAGGAAAGUGGAAUUCCAUGUGUAGCGGUGAAAUGCGCAGAGAUAUGGAGGAACACCAGUGGCGAAGGCGACUUUCUGGUCUGUAACUGACGCUGAUGUGCGAAAGCGUGGGGAUCAAACAGGAUUAGAUACCCUGGUAGUCCACGCCGUAAACGAUGAGUGCUAAGUGUUAGGGGGUUUCCGCCCCUUAGUGCUGCAGCUAACGCAUUAAGCACUCCGCCUGGGGAGUACGACCGCAAGGUUGAAACUCAAAGGAAUUGACGGGGACCCGCACAAGCGG